rnacentral:rRNA from 1 species
CAUGCAAGUCGAGCGGACCGACGGGAGCUUGCUCCCUUAGGUCAGCGGCGGACGGGUGAGUAACACGUGGGUAACCUGCCUGUAAGACUGGGAUAACUCCGGGAAACCGGGGCUAAUACCGGAUGCUUGAUUGAACCGCAUGGUUCAAUCAUAAAAGGUGGCUUUUAGCUACCACUUACAGAUGGACCCGCGGCGCAUUAGCUAGUUGGUGAGGUAACGGCUCACCAAGGCGACGAUGCGUAGCCGACCUGAGAGGGUGAUCGGCCACACUGGGACUGAGACACGGCCCAGACUCCUACGGGAGGCAGCAGUAGGGAAUCUUCCGCAAUGGACGAAAGUCUGACGGAGCAACGCCGCGUGAGUGAUGAAGGUUUUCGGAUCGUAAAACUCUGUUGUUAGGGAAGAACAAGUACCGUUCGAAUAGGGCGGUACCUUGACGGUACCUAACCAGAAAGCCACGGCUAACUACGUGCCAGCAGCCGCGGUAAUACGUA